rnacentral:rRNA from 1 species
GAUGAACGCUAGCUACAGGCUUAACACAUGCAAGUCGAGGGGCAGCAUGGUCUUAGCUUGCUAAGGCCGAUGGCGACCGGCGCACGGGUGAGUAACACGUAUCCAACCUGCCGUCUACUCUUGGACAGCCUUCUGAAAGGAAGAUUAAUACAAGAUGGCAUCAUGAGUCCGCAUGUUCACAUGAUUAAAGGUAUUCCGGUAGACGAUGGGGAUGCGUUCCAUUAGAUAGUAGGCGGGGUAACGGCCCACCUAGUCUUCGAUGGAUAGGGGUUCUGAGAGGAAGGUCCCCCACAUUGGAACUGAGACACGGUCCAAACUCCUACGGGAGGCAGCAGUGAGGAAUAUUGGUCAAUGGGCGAGAGCCUGAACCAGCCAAGUAGCGUGAAGGAUGACUGCCCUAUGGGUUGUAAACUUCUUUUAUAAAAGAAUAAAGUCGGGUAUGCAUACCCGUUUGCAUGUACUUUAUGAAUAAGGAUCGGCUAACUCCGUGCCAGCAGCCGCGGUAAUACGGAGGAUCCGAGCGUUAUCCGGAUUUAUUGGGUUUAAAGGGAGCGUAGAUGGAUGUUUAAGUCAGUUGUGAAAGUUUGCGGCUCAACCGUAAAAUUGCAGUUGAUACUGGAUAUCUUGAGUGCAGUUGAGGCAGGCGGAAUUCGUGGUGUAGCGGUGAAAUGCUUAGAUAUCACGAAGAACUCCGAUUGCGAAGGCAGCCUGCUAAGCUGCAACUGACAUUGAGGCUCGAAAGUGUGGGUAUCAAACAGGAUUAGAUACCCUGGUAGUCCACACGGUAAACGAUGAAUACUCGCUGUUUGCGAUAUACAGCAAGCGGCCAAGCGAAAGCGUUAAGUAUUCCACCUGGGGAGUACGCCGGCAACGGUGAAACUCAAAGGAAUUGACGGGGGCCCGCACAAGCGGAGGAACAUGUGGUUUAAUUCGAUGAUACGCGAGGAACCUUACCCGGGCUUAAAUUGCAGAUGAAUUACGGUGAAAGCCGUAAGCCGCAAGGCAUCUGUGAAGGUGCUGCAUGGUUGUCGUCAGCUCGUGCCGUGAGGUGUCGGCUUAAGUGCCAUAACGAGCGCAACCCUUGUUGUCAGUUACUAACAGGUUCCGCUGAGGACUCUGACAAGACUGCCAUCGUAAGAUGUGAGGAAGGUGGGGAUGACGUCAAAUCAGCACGGCCCUUACGUCCGGGGCUACACACGUGUUACAAUGGGGGGUACAGAGGGCCGCUACCACGCGAGUGGAUGCCAAUCCCAAAAACCUCUCUCAGUUCGGACUGGAGUCUGCAACCCGACUCCACGAAGCUGGAUUCGCUAGUAAUCGCGCAUCAGCCACGGCGCGGUGAAUACGUUCCCGGGCCU